GCCGCCAUGGUGAAAUCGGUAGACACGCUGCUCUUAGGCGGUUCGAGUCCGAGUGGCGGCA
rnacentral:tRNA from 1 species